AUGCCGCCGCGCCGCAAGAUUCCGCAGCUCUCCCCGGAAGCCGUACCGCCGCCGGCGCGGCGGCUGCGCCGCAAGAGUCCGCGGCUCUCUCCGGCCGCCGAAGCGCAGACAUCGCAGCUGACGACGCCGGGAGAUCGAAGGGGGCUCUUCUCGUGCUUGUACAGCGGCGAGUGCGACGAGCCCCCUGACUUCUGUCUCAAAUUCGAUCUCAUGGAGACCAUCCCCGACUAUUACGAGGAGGCGAUCGACCGGCUGCCCGUCGAAGACAUGCCAGCGGACGCCGCUGACCAGCUGAUGACAUCCAUGGGCAGAUCCGCCCUCUCCCUCGGCCUCCUCGACCCCGCCUCCAACAUCAUCCUCAACACCAUCGCCCUCCUCCGGCGCGACUUCCCGGAUCCGCCUCUGCACUGCAGGAGGAGGUCCAGCAGGCUGGCGCGACCCAGCCGGCACACUACUCUCUCCCGCAGAGACACCUGGGCCAGAGUUGCUGGGGCAUCCUACCUCGCUCUCCGCAGCUUCAUGGUGAGCUACUUCGGAUGCCUUAGUGAAGAACAGGCCACACGCUACCUCCACUGGGCACGCGGUGAUCUUGUCCGGGCCGUCCUGCUGGUCGAGCACGAUCUUUACGAUGCCGAGCUUCAGAUCCCCAACCCGGCCUCCCAAAGGACGCAAGCCGCCCUCAAGUGCGCCGCAAUCUAUGUGUCGCACCCUGCGCCUGAUGUCCUUGUGCGGCUCCAGGCGUCGCCCCUGCCCCAACAGUGGCUUGACGCUGCCGCCCCGUUCCUCAAGCCGCAAGGGCGCAAGCUCACCCUCGAUGAUGUUGAGCUCAUCGUGCGUAUGCUGCGCCACCAGCACGGUGCCCCCCUUGAUCUCCAGGUCAAGUUGCUGCCUGACAGUGGUGAACUCACCGUUUACUAUCGCAACUUCAAUCCGGAUGAAGCACAGAUAUCAACCCACAACACAAACUCCGUGAAUCAUGGAGGUAACUUCUCCCUGGUCACCUACAAGGUUGAGCGACAUGGAGACCGCUUGGCAUCCCUAUCCCCCCAGUCCCCCCGGGGCAGGAGAUCCAUGAUAUCAUCUUGUUUGGAAGACGCUGAGAAAGCCUAUCGAACCGGCGGUCUGGUGGAGAGUUGUUGUGGUGAUGCCUGCGAAUACACCGAGUCUCUCAGGAUGCGGCUUCACAGCACGAUCCACGCCUUCUAUCUAAAAGUGUUCACCAUGCUGCCGCGCUCUAUGCGGCUCAUCCGCGACAUCUUGUUCGCUGGCCACUGCUAUGGCCCCAUGGACCCUGUCUCCAACAUCAUUGUCAACUCCAUUUGGCACAGCAUUGUCUACCCGCUACCCUUGACCGAAAUCGAAGAGUAUCACAUCAUCGACGCCCUAUCUAUGCUGCGCGUGGAGGUCCGUUCCUUGGAAGGCCUCAUCGCCCUUGUCCGAGGAAACUCUGAUUCUGGCUGCUCGACGCAGCAGGUGAUGGAGCACCUCUCCUUGAAAUGCUGUGACCUUUCCCAGGGGACGCACACCUUGCAGCAGUUUCCUGCCGCAGCCGCAGCCGCUCGACACCCACAACAUGCUGCACUAGGGUCAUUCCUCGCGUCCCUGACGCCCAAUGUGCUGUAUGACCUACGGCGUUUGUUGACAACUGGCACCAAUGGUGUGAUCUCUCCUGAAUCUCUUGGCCAAAUAGAGCAGUUCCUCCGAUAUAAAGCAGUGACAUUGGACCCCGAACCUCGCAAGGUGUCCGAAUUGUGCGAGGAGGCUAAGGUGACUCUGCAAAGAAUGAAGUCAUAUUAUGACAGCAUGAGCUUGUACCUUUGCUCUAAGCUUGAACAACUGCUGCAGAAAUAUGCCUCUGAGCAUCCUCUGGAACCAAAAUAUGUGCUAACUGUUAUCUGUGGUAUGGUGGCUGGUUCCGAGUCCUUAGACAGGGAGUGCUACCACGUUAAUUUUGUGGCUGCUUCCAAAUCAAGGACUGCUGGUAACAAACUCUUCUUCGCUGAACUCAAUUGGUCGUGUCCUGGUGAGCAGGCAAAACCAGAUUUCUGCUGCCCUCUACCCCUGAUACAUACUGGCCGUUGCUACUAUGGAAAGGGAACCGCGAGGAAGAUUGUGUAUCCAGAUUCAGUAGACUUUCUUGAGUGUGAUCAUGAUAUUACCCCCGAUGGAACCGAGCACACGGACGGGAUGCUGGACGUGGAUUUAAUGUUUGAUUUUAGGAGUGACGCCCAGUUUGCAGACGAUAUGAGGGAGUACUGUGAGCAUCAAAAAAAGUUGUUGCAGGAGGGCGAUGAGUAUUAA
rnacentral:rRNA from 1 species